rnacentral:lncRNA from 1 species
CUCUCAGUGCCUCAGCCGCGAGAGCAAAGCUUAGUUCAUCAUCUUCUCUGUAGUUCCUUCAGGUAUUCCACUUUCUCUCUCUCCUCUGCUUCGUUCCGGACAAAAUUGACGAUUUCUCAUCGUCUCAAUGCAAUUCUUCUUUCCUUUCAUCAAAAACUGAAAUGAAUGCGGUAGCUGAACUCUAGAGCUGAAUCACGUUGUUACUUCUAUGUGUUUUUCUGUUUGUUGUUAAAUUUUGAUUCGGUUACUCAGUAUUUGAUAAUUGCUAGAGGAACUUGUGAAAUUGCUUAUCGAUACUGUUGAGUUUUUGAGAUGAUUUCUGUGAU